AUUUAAGUAGUUUAAAAAAUGUCGGUUUGUGAUAUCGAAGUUGUAAUAGUCUUGUUACCUUAAAUU
rnacentral:tRNA from 1 species